AUUGAACGCUGGCGGCAGGCCUAACACAUGCAAGUCGAACGGUAACAGGAAGAAGCUUGCUUCUUUGCUGACGAGUGGCGGACGGGUGAGUAAUGUCUGGGAAACUGCCUGAUGGAGGGGGAUAACUACUGGAAACGGUAGCUAAUACCGCAUAACGUCGCAAGACCAAAGAGGGGGACCUUCGGGCCUCUUGCCAUCGGAUGUGCCCAGAUGGGAUUAGCGAGUAGGUGGGGUAACGGCUCACCUAGGCGACGAUCCCUAGCUGGUCUGAGAGGAUGACCAGCCACACUGGAACUGAGACACGGUCCAGACUCCUACGGGAGGCAGCAGUGGGGAAUAUUGCACAAUGGGCGCAAGCCUGAUGCAGCCAUGCCGCGUGUAUGAAGAAGGCCUUCGGGUUGUAAAGUACUUUCAGCGGGGAGGAAGGGAGUAAAGUUAAUACCUUUGCUCAUUGACGUUACCCGCAGAAGAAGCACCGGCUAACUCCGUG
rnacentral:rRNA from 1 species